UACAGAGGGUGCGAGCGUUAAUCGGAAUUACUGGGCGUAAAGCGCGCGUAGGCGGCUUGCAAGUCGGGUGUGAAAUCCCCAGGCUUAACCUGGGAACUGCAUUCGAGACUGCAUUGCUAGAGUAUGGGAGAGGGAAGUGGAAUUUCCGGUGUAGAGGUGAAAUUCGUAGAUAUUCGCAAGAACACCGGUGGCGAAGGCGGGUCUCUGGGCCGAUACUGACGCUGAGGAGCGAAAGCGUGGGGGAGCGAACAGG
rnacentral:rRNA from 1 species